GGCUACUCACCUCUCGUACGUGGAGUACUCCCCCCUUUCCCUCUUCAUGGGGUAGCGAUCAGGAGGCGAAUUGGGCAGUGCGGCGAUAUAUACAGUGCGAGCUCGGCGACGGCAACAACCUUCUCCGGCGUCCCUGUCCGCCGUCGGAGGUCUUCUCACCGUUAAGGGUUCUUGUUUUUUUGAGGAUGGACAAAGAAAGAGGAAGUAGACCAAGAAAGGAGAUGAAAGAAAAGAGGGGAGCUUGCGUGUUUGAGGGGGUGAUGGGGUAGACCUUCGCUCGAUUGUGGGAUCAUUUGAAGGAGGUGGAAAUCAUGCAGGAGGAGAAGGAGAGGAGAAGCUCAACGAUGAGGAGGAACAACAUUAGUAUCUUCCUCGCUCCAGCCAAAGGUGAUAGCCCUGUUUCCUAUUUUCCUCUCUGUUUUGGAUGAAUUGUUCCUUCUUUCUUCCCUGGAGCUCCACUAGUACAAAAAACAAAGAGCCAUGGCCAACCGUUUUCACUUAGAUUGGAGUUGGGAUGCUGCUUCUAUAUUUAGGAUGGUCAUUCCAUUAAUUAUGUUGAAUCUGCUUUGUUGUAGAAGAAGGCACAAAAGGAAACCAUAAAGGGUAAAACACAAGAAAAUUUGAAAGAACAAGACGAAUGCUGCGAGCAACAAAGAAAUCACUCCCCAAUAAGAAGUACUCCCUCCGUCCCGAAAUGUAAGACGUUUUUUGAUACUAUGAUAGUGUCAAAAAGCGUCUUACAUUUUGGGACGGUGGGAGUACAAAUCAUUCAAGCCCAAGUUAGUUUUAUCUUAAUGCACAAUCUCACUAACUCCCUAUACUGUUUUGUUAGGUUUCCAGUCCGCCAAACACUGUCAUCGGGGCUGAUCUUACCUCUGAAUAGAUUGAAAUUUAAACUUUUUGAUUCAAGAAUCUUGCUAAAGGACAUAAAUGUGUCUUUUCUUAAACGUUGACUUGUCCUGAACACUACAGUGAGGCUGCAGAACUCUCUAGUGAGACAUGGUAGCAACUAGCGAAUGGCAAGAUGCAGAAUAUGGUUUUCCUUAUCCAAUUCAUAGAAGCACUAACCUUCUGUGAAAGCACGACAUAAACCUGUAGUACACUAAACUUUCUCAGGUUUGCUUCUCACAUUUUUACACCGAGCUUAAGGCGAAUGAUAAAUGGUUAAGCACCUAUUUAUUUCUAGUUUUGAUCUGUUGAUACACACUAAACAGAAGGAUAUAGCUGGAUGUGCUCCUAUUUUACGUCGAUGUAAACAAGCGAUGCAAUCGAUGUCGCAUGCAAGUUUGGAAUAUGUAUUUCUUGUACAUGCUCCUAUUUUUUGUUGGGCCCAUAUCUCUUACCUUGUCUCUCAGAAUUCGUACAUUAGCUCGUGAACGUGGCUGAAUCCAUACGGUAUGCUAGAGUUUUGUAUGUGGCUGGUUGGAAACAUUAGUUGGUAUACACGGACCAUCUCCUAGCUUGUCAAUAUUCAUGCAAGCUGAGUUGGAUUUAUUUUAGUUACCAUGAGGUGGACCCUGACCCUCAUCUAGCCUGUCAAACUUUGCUGAUUUUUUUAACCCGCCCUUAGUCCAGGAAAAAAUCUUCUAUAACAAUAAUUUUUCAUUUUUCAUUCAGGUUGUUUGUUUUCUGUAGCAUAAAUCAUAUUGGAAUGUACUUUUUUUGGCAAGUAAUCAUGCAAUUCUAGCUAGACUCCAUCAAUUUAAUUUAUUCCUUCCCCAUGGUACUGUAAAGAAGAUCCACACAAUCAUUUUUGCUUUCGAAUCUUAUAUACUGGAAGACGUUGACUUUGUUCACAUUUAACCUAUUUUCCUAUCUUACAGAGCAAUCCAUUCAAAUAUUGUUAAUUUCUUCUUCCUCGUAAUUUUUUACCACUAUACCACUAGAAUAGAGAUGUGAGUUUAUUUAGUUCCAUACUUCCAUUUGAUAUUGAUUCAUCUAUUUGCUUGGCGGUUUUGGCAUUUUGCCUUACAAUUAUGUGUGCCUGGUCAAUUAUGUGUUUCAUUUUAAUGACUCUUUGGUGCCAGACAAUGUCUAGUUCAAUAUGAUGACUUCCAGUGUUGUACCUCACACAACUUGAUAAAAGACACGGUUUAGUGUGCAUUGAAACAGUGAUUACAGAGUUUGGCCUGUUUAUCUUAUUUCUCUCUAUAUUUUUGAUUCAUACCGUGGAGGCAGCGUGUUAUGGAUUCAUGUGAUUCCGAUAAAUUUUGUACAUCCAAAAUCCCUCUAUGAUAUCUUUGAUUUUGACAUUGUUUCCAGUUUAGGAUACCGAAGCCUGCUAAUCCUUUUAAGGGCCUGUUCGGAAGCGCUCCGGCUCCGCGCUUCUCCGAAAGCGGGCGGGGAGCUGGCCGAAUGCCGGAUGCUUCAAGAAGCCUGCUCCGCGGAGCAAUUCCGGACGCAGUGCAAUUUUCUGGAGCUACUCCAGCCCAGCUUCACGAAAACCAGGAGCAGAAGUUGCUCUUUAUUAUAUCCCAAUGCCCUUCCGAAGUGGCAUGUGUAACGAUUCGAUAUGAGCGGAGCGAACCAGCGUCCUCGCAGGGUGAUCUGACUGUGGGGUCCUCUCCUCUCUGGCCCAUGUUGACGGAGCAGAAUCUGCCGCUGCUGCCGAACGCUUAUCACCUCCCGUGAGAAGCUGGCUGGCUGAGAAGCUGGCCACUUGGGAAGCGAGAGAGCUUCCGAACGGGCCCUAAGUGUUAUAUGUGCUUCUUUGUUGGUGGUAUUUUGUUCGUAUACUUCUAAGAACUGAAAAUAUUCUGUUUUUCAGGUAUCUGUUCAAACGGAUGACGGUUAAUGUAUGAGGGAUAGAGAAUUACAGAGCAAUGUCUUCGUCUUUAAUAACCAGAAUAAAUAUUCAUGUUUUGGUUAGAAGAAAAGUGAACCUAAAGGGUACAGUACUAUUAAUAGGAUACUAUGUUGGUUACAGGCUUACAGCCCAUGGAUAAUAAUGUUCCAGUCGCUGGAGAGAUUGCUAAAUAGAUAAGUUGAUGUAAAAUUUCUGGUCACCUGCAAAUUAAGCUGCUUGAAGAUCAAGUUCGACAGUAAUCAGCUUUCAAGUUAGGUAGUAUUCCUUUUUAGAAUGUGUAAUUAUAUGCCUAAUAUUGUUGAUCAAUUUAUUAUUUGCAACUUCUAUAGGAAAAAAGUUUCCCCUUGUAGAACAAUUAUGUAUCUCGGGGACAUGAGUGUUUUGGUAGCAUUCAGAUAGUCAUUGGUAGUGUAGCUAUGAUACAGUUGAAUAAGUGUUACGGAUGAUAGACCUUCCUAUUGAUGUCGUCAAGUGGUAUCUCUACGAUAUUGGAAUUUUGUAAAGCAUCGAGUUGUAUUAGUAGGAUUGAACAGGAAAUAUUAUUCUGCUUGCA